GACGAACGCUGGCGGCGUGCUUAACACAUGCAAGUCGAACGGAAAGGCCCUGCUUGCAGGGUGCUCGAGUGGCGAACGGGUGAGUAACACGUGGGUGAUCUGCCCCUUACUUUGGGAUAAGCCUGGGAAACUGGGUCUAAUACUGGAUAGGACCAUGCUGUAGGUGGUGUGGUGGAAAGAUUUUUUCGGUAAGGGAUGAGCUCGCGGCCUAUCAGCUUGUUGGUGGGGUAAUGGCCUACCAAGGCGUCGACGGGUAGCCGGCCUGAGAGGGUGGACGGCCACAUUGAGACUGAGAUACGGCCCAGACUCCUACGGGAGGCAGCAGUGGGGAAUAUUGCACAAUGGGCGCAAGCCUGAUGCAGCGACGCCGCGUGGGGGAUGACGGCCUUCGGGUUGUAAACUCCUUUCAGCCAUGACGAAGCCUCUUUUGGGGUGACGGUAGUGGUAGAAGAAGCACCGGCUAACUACGUG
rnacentral:rRNA from 1 species